AUUGAACGCUGGCGGCAGGCCUAACACAUGCAAGUCGAGCGGCAGCGGGAAACUAGCUUGCUACUUUUGCCGGCGAGCGGAGGACGGGUGAGUAAUGCCUGGGGAUCUGCCCAGUCGAGGGGGAUAACUACUGGAAACGGUAGCUAAUACCGCAUACGCCCUACGGGGGAAAGCAGGGGACCUUCGGGCCUUGCGCGUUUGGAUGCACCCAGGUGGGAUUAGCUAGUUGGUGAGGUAAUGGCUCACCAAGGCGACGAUCGCUAGCUGGUCUGGGAGGAUGAUCAGCCACACUGGAACUUAGACACCGUCCAGACACCUACGGGAGGCAGCAGUGGGGAAUAGUGCAGAAUGGGGGAAACCCUGAUGCAGCCAUGGCGCGUGUGUGAAGACGGCCUUCGGGUUGUAAAGCACUUUCAGCGAGUAGGAAAGGUUGGUAACUAAUAACUGCCAGCUGUGACGUUACUCGCAGAAGAAGCACCGGCUAACUCCGUGCCAGCCGCCGCGGUAAGAC
rnacentral:rRNA from 1 species